UUGUUCCAAUCAAAUCAUGCCACAUAUGCGGGAGCACGGAUGGGCACACACGCGGGGAGCAGCCAAGUCUCGUCCAUCAGAGUGCCCUCGAACCUCCCCAUCCAGGAUCCCUUCGCCGCCGCCCUCGCUCGCACAUCAAGCGCCCUCGAUCCCUGCGUCGCCGAACCUUCGCCGUCGGCGAUCCCUGCGGGACACCUCUGCCACCCGUGCCUUACCCUCCUCUGUGUGCUGGUGGUGGUGAUGCAGUGCGUCAUCGAUCGCGAGAUCGGCAAGCCCAAGUACCGGUGCGCUUGGGCCUGUGUGGACACGGCCGCGGACGGCGGCUGCAGGACGAUCGAGUGCGGCCUCCAGUACUCCACGCAAGAUCAGGUCGGCACCUGCCCGAUCCCCAUCCGAGUCCAGGGCCGGCCGUGCCGUCUGUGGCGACCGGCCAUGCUUCAGCCUUCAGCUGCCCCGGCCUGAGUCUAGGGCCGUCAGGACCGCCUCCCAGCCGUUCGACGGUUUGCCUGACUCGGCUUCCAGCAUGUAUGUAUGAUCGGUCUUGCCCCGUUGCCUUCCUCUUCACCGGAGCUCCUGGCCUUGAACCGUCCCCGAUAUGGUGCCGAUCUGGCAGCCGGCCACGCCCCGAUGCUCUCCGACAUUCUCUCCAUCUUAGUUCAUGCUCCCCUUACCUCUUCCCUCGAUUCUUGAGGCCAGUAUUGCUGGACUUACGAUUUGAACAUACUUGUGUCUUUGUUGUGCUGCAGGUAACUUGCGAUUUGUCCCCGGCGACGUCACCUGCAUCGACCGUGCGGCUAGGUUCGCCUUUGUCCUCGCCGGCGUCACGGCCAGAUGCCACAUUGAGUCAACCUCCGGGUCCAGCAGCGCAGGCUCCUUCCCGUUGCUACACUAUUCCGCAGCCUAGGAGACCCAACUAGCAGGACCACACCUCGGCUGCUUUUGUCGUGCCUCAAGGAACCUGACAGUGUCGUCAGUAUCAGGUUAGUUCCAUUACACUCGGGUCACCGGAGGUUGUCGUGCUACUGUGCUCCUCUCUUGUUGUAGCGGUUAGCUGCGGCGGCUCACGGAUCAUCCUCCCACGAGGUUGUGGCUUUCUCAAUUGAUAAAAAUAACAUGACGCCACAUAGUUCUUUUAUAUAUAACCAUCAGAAUCCUGAUGUGUGUGUGUGUGUGUGUGUGUGUGUCAUAUAAUAUCUUGCCGUCUAUGUAUAUUGUUUCCCUUUUAUUCAUGUACUACUUCUCUAAAUGUAAGCCACUUCUUUUCUAUUGUGGGCGUUAUCUUUCGAUGUUAAUGGACUAAAAGUCUAAAGCCUUUCCUUCUGCAAAAUGAUGAUAUUAGAGCUAUGCGUCUUAUAAUCCCUACUGUAUAUGACAAUGUGAUAUUCAGUUAUAUUAUGUUCGAAGCAUGGCAUUUUUCCUUCCUUUUUUUCGAUGAAUCACGUGGUAAAUUAUGAUGUACAAUGACCGCUCUUGCAAAAAAAAUUGAGACUCAGAGAGGGGUUCUACAACAAGCAAGGUUCUAGGAUCUGAAUCUAAAUGAACUCUUCUUCAGUCCAGUCCUAGCACAAACUAAUCAGAGAAACAAAGAAGCAGCAACGCAUGCGUCCCCUUCUUGCACACAAGAGUUGUCUUUGUGAAAGUCAUGAACCUUUUGUCCAUCACUGGAUUUGAACAUGUUAAUUCUAAGCUUCUGUUCGGAGUUUAUAUUCUAGCUUUCAUGCGAAGUAGUUACAUUUAUCGCAUGGAAGACGAUGCCCAUAGAGUGGAAGGUGGGGAGAUUCAGACUUUGGAGGAUGCAAAUAUGCUCAAAGUUUUUCAAUUAAGGUGAGCCUUGCAGAACUAUCUUUUAAUGUUUCCAGUUUAUCCGAAAGUAUUUUAGCCUAAAUUUCCUGUCAUUUAGAUAGAUGUGGGUUAUGCUAAUCUGACUGGUAAGUUAUGGUAUUGUAGCUACUGCACAUGUCCCUCGAUUUCCCAGUUCCAUGUGUCAGGAUGCUAAUAUGGGUGUUACUAUAUUGCCUUCAAGUUUAUCCUAAAGUAUUUUAGCCUAAAUUUCUUGCCAUUUAGAUAGAUGUUGGUUAUGCUAAUCUGACUGGUGGGUUAUGCUAAUCUGACUGGUAAGUAUGAUAUUGUAGCUACUGUACAUGUCCCUCAAUUUCCGAGUUCCAUGUGUAGGAUGCUAAUAUGGGUGUUACUAUAUUACCUUCCAUUUUGUAAUAUGUUAUGUUUGCAAUUUCUCAGGGCCGCCGCGGCCGCCGUCCGUAGCAACGCAUAGGCCGCUUGCCCAGCUCCCUCAUUCCGAGCACGACACCACGCGUCAGAGUUCUACCGGUGAUCCGUGUUGUCGCUGACGGUGUCAUAGGAUCUGCGGUGCAUGUGGACAAGGCGAUGGGGCCGCCAACCUACCUCCUCUUCACCACAGCGCGUGUGGAUUCUUGGGCUACCUCAACUUGGAUCAGCUUUUUCAAGAGGGGAUGCUUGCCAUUCAGAGGAUCUGAUGGGGAAGAUAAAGACAACUAAUACGCUGAAAAUGAUUUUACAUCCUGGUUCGAAAAGUAAAAGGGAAAUCUUCGAGUAAAGGUAUGUUCUACUGCAAAGGAACUUCCCGAGGGAUCCCAUUGAAAUUGAAAGUAUGUUUCUUUUUUUAUUCCUAGAUUUUGAGCAUCUUGAAGGUUCAUCACUUGAUUUUCACUACUACAUCAUGUUUUAUGUUACAACCCGUUUGAAGAGGAAUUUCAGAGAUAUCUUCCCGCUUAUAUGGAAAUUUUGCAGCAAGUGGAUUCCAUGGAUGUCUUUGAUGAGGGCCAACGCUGCACCAUCAUGGAUGGACGGGACAGCUUGGAGGCGGACCGACGCCUACACCCCAACCCUCGCUGGCACCCAUGCUGAACGACGCCGUCGGCGCGCCAACGCCGGACUUUGCACGGAUACCUCAUCUUGGACUGAUGCUGCCGGGGCAGCAACUCCACACCACCACAGUCUGGUAAUGCAAUUCCACCUCCCUUUCUUUGUUCUGAGUCAAUGUUAAUCAUCCGACCGGAGUUGGUCAAUGCUAGAUGAUUUGGCUUGAUGGUGGCAUUGCAUAUAGCAGCUUGUGGAAUGGUAAUGUUGCUGCCGUAGCCUUGAUUGUUUUGUAGUUUCAUCCUAGGAAGCAUUUAGGCUGUUAUGAACCUGGAUGUUUCACUUUAGGUUGGUUAAUUCAACUUCUUGCUGUCACUGACGUAUUGUUUUUCUUUAACCUGCUAGGAGUCCUGGGUACUGCCAUGGGAGUGAAUUGCAGAAAACAUCGACAUUGAAGGCUAGGGUUGCAGAAACCACACUUCUACAGUUUUGUGCCAAAAACCACUAAUUCCGAGCCUAAUUUCUUGCAAAAAACACUAGUCGAUUGCUUAGGCUAUUUUGAGCACGAUUAUGACAUGUGGGUCCCGCUGGACAGGGUGACAUGGCAAACUAAAAAGCCAAGGACAUCCGGAUACAAUUUUGUUUUACAAAAUGACCCCUAAAAAAAGCAAUCGGGUCCUCGAGACCUUCAUCUCCCAUGGCGGAGGAGGGCGGCCACUCCCUCCCCGUGCGCGGCCAGCCCACGAGAGACCGACGUGCCUGCCCUUGCUGCCCUUAGCGCUCCCCCCUUCCCACCGGAGCAGCAGCUCUCACGGCUGCCGGAGCCGCAGCCGCCGUGGGUAUCGGAGGGCCGGCACCAGCAGCUUCUGAUGGCCGACAUCGACAGCUUUUGCGGGCGCGGCGGAGGCCGAUGUGGGGCACGACUUGGGGCGGCGGCGACGGAGCUCUCUGGUGCGCCUCCCUACCGACCUGCCAUAUGCAGCAGCGGCGCCGGCCACGAGCAGCAGCGGCGACGGGAGCGAGCAGCGGCGGGGACGGGAGCGAGCAGCAACGAGGACGGAAGAAAGCAGCAGCAGCCGUUCACUGGAGCGAGCAGCAGCCGCGCCGGCCGCGCGUGCGCACGAGCAGCGGUGCCGGCGGCCAGGCGGCCAUGUUGUAGGUGAGGUGCUGCUGGCAAGCUCGAGCUCCACCGGCCAGCGGACAUGAGUCAACGGUCAGAGGAUGAAGAUGGAACAUUAUCCUCUUCUUUUUUAAUGUGAAAAAAUGACCUUAUCCUCUUAGGCUCUUUUACAGUGUAGUCCCUUCUAUUAUGUCUAUUUGCAAUCCGUUAUAUUGUGUCAAGUCAGCCUGUCCAGCGGGUCCCAGCUGUCAUAAACAUGAUUAAAACGAGCGAAACGGAUGACUAGUGUUUUUUGCAAAAAAUUAGCCUCAGAAUUAGUGUUUUUUGGCACAAAACUGUAGAAGUGUGGUUUCUGCAACACUAGCCUUCAAUGUCGAUGUUUUUUGCAAUUCACUCCUGCCAUGGUGAUGAUGUCGAACAAAACAACCUUCAUCGACGGGUACAAAUAAUUUAGUUUGUCUAUUUUUUCAGGGAUAAACUGCCUUAACCGAAGCAGCAUAUGUUGGAGAAUGUAGAUUCAACUUUCGUUUCAGUAGCUUUGGAGGUAUCCUAUACGACUAUGAGUGAUAUACUCUCCUGUCUCCUCCCUCCAUUUUACUUGAGUUAACCCCUGUACGCACAUGUCUACGUCUGCCUUCAGGUGCUUUUAUUGCUACAGAUAAUGUACUUUUAUGUAUUUCAAGCUCUU